rnacentral:lncRNA from 1 species
GACUUACUAAACAGUGACAAUAGAUACUACCUUUUCUUUUAUAUAUAUAUAUAUAUAGUCCGGCUACUAUACUCUUAUUAGUAUGAUCACUUUCGUACUCAUAAGUCGUUUUCGAUAAUAGAAUUUUCUAAUCGACGAUCCAUACCAUUAAAUAUUUUAUAGAAUAUUUAAAAUUUCUAGAAAUCAAAUUUCAUAAUUUUUCGACAUCAUUUACCUUAUAAUCAAAAGCUCACAAAAUUGACAAUUUUUUACGACCGGUAUGAAAUACUUACUACUUUAACGGUGCAAAAGAAUUGGAAUAGGUUGAUUUUUUGAUAGAAAAUUCUAUUCACUAACUAGAUAAAGAUCAAUAACUCCGAUCUUAAAUUGAAGAAUCCGAUCAUCCAUUUUUAAGACGUUCGAUUUUGACCGUUCAUUUUAUGCCCGCUUGAUGGACUUUAUUAUGAUUUCGAAAAAUUACGAAAUUUAUUUUCUAGAAGUUUCAAAUACUCUAGAUCAUAUUUAAUAGAGUGGAUCAUCGAUUUUGAAGCUCCAUCAUCAAAAACAACUUAUAAGUACGAAGGGCCCAAUACCCAUAAGAGUAUAGUAGCCAUACUAUAUAUAUAUAUAUAUAUAUAUAUAGAAUUAGGCUGAAAUACUAUCAAUAACAUCAAACUAUUGGUGCUAUUGAUUUUUUAACCCUUGAAUUGAAAAAUGUGCGGUUAAGAUGAUGUGGGCCCUUUAGGGUUAAGUGGGUGGUUGGUUGAAUAGUACAAUUUAACGGGUAAAAAUAAUCAAAGAGUUAAAUCUAACGAUGAAAAACUCGAUAGCACUAAAUCCUUGGUGCUAUCGAUAGUAUACCAGUCGAACUCUCUCUCUCUCUCUCUAUAUAUAUAUAUAUAGAGAGAGAGCUAAGCUGGUAUACUAUCGGUAGUACGGAGGCCUUCGUUCUAUCAAGUUGUUUUCAAUGAUGCGGCUUCUAAAUCGACGAUCGGUUCCGUUAGACUUAAUUUAUAUUAUUAAAAAUAUUUAAAAAUUAAAUUUUAUAAUUUUUCGAUAUUAUUUCAUAAAAGUAUUUAUAAAAUAAAAAAAUAAAAUUCAAUACUAUAGUAAUGCUCAAAAUAAUAAAAUUUAUCCUUAUUAACA